rnacentral:rRNA from 1 species
CCAGACUCCUACGGGAGGCAGCAGUGGGGAAUAUUGCACAAUGGGCGAAAGCCUGAUGCAGCAACGCCGCGUGAACGAAGAAGGCUCUUGGGUCGUAAAGUUCUGUUCUGAGGGAAGAAGAAAGUGACGGUACCUCAGGAGAAAGCCCCGGCUAACUACGUGCCAGCAGCCGCGGUAAUACGUAGGGGGCAAGCGUUAUCCGGAAUUACUGGGUGUAAAGGGUGAGUAGGCGGCAUGGUAAGCCAGAUGUGAAAGCCUUGGGCUUAACCCGAGGAUUGCAUUUGGAACUAUCAAGCUAGAGUACAGGAGAGGAAAGCGGAAUUCCUAGUGUAGCGGUGAAAUGCGUAGAUAUUAGGAAGAACACCAGUGGCGAGGGCGGCUUUCUGGACUGAAACUGACGCUGAGGCACGAAAGCGUGGGGAGCGAACAGGAUUAGAUACCCGUGUAAA